UCCUCCCCACGGUCUCUCCUCCUCCCCAUGGUCUCCUCCUCCCCACGGAAAAGAAAUCAAUAUUUCUCAAAUUGUAGCAAGCAAAUUGGGGAAUCAAAUCUGGUGCGCUCACUCCAUGGAAUCUCUCCUCCUCCCCCUUGGGAAAAGAAACCGGAUCUCUCUCAAAUUGGAGCAUCCAAGUUGGGAUAUAGAUCAGGUUCGUCACUGAUUUGUGUUGAUUUUUUCCUGAUGUAAAAUUUGAAUCGACCUUAUCUUUUCAAUUGUGUUUGGAUUAAUGAUUUUCUCACGUACGCUCUCUGGACACUUCCUAUAUUUUCUCACGUACCCUCUCUGGGCACUUUGUGGAGAUUGCAAUGGAGCUCGACCAGGCCCAUACGGCUAGCUUAUAUAUUAACUACAACCUAACACAAACAGUCUCAACAUCAAGGAGGCUCCUGUCGGCCGUGAACAUCAUUGCUGGUGAACCUUCUCCUAUUUGGUCAACUUCUUAUGUUUUUGUUCAAAACAAUGGCAUACGAUGUGCUCCAUGAUAUUAGCAAAUACAAGGAUUCUUGGAAAGUCAAGGCAGAGUAAUUAAUUAGGCUAUGGGAUGCCAUUAACCUCAGCAACAAUGAACUUAUUAGCCGUGACAUGAUACUACUUGAUGAAGAGGGCACUAUGAUACAUGGCAAGGUAAUGAAACAUAUGGUUAACAAGUUCAGACCAUUGAUCUAAGAAGGUUUAGUCUACAUGAUUGCAAAUUUGAAGGUUACAUCUGCAAUUAGUUUCCGUCCAGUUGAAAGUGAAAAGAUUUUAUAUUUCUUGCACAUGACCAAAAUUGAAGAGAUAAAAGGUCUAAAAAAUAUCAGAAUAGCAGAACAAAACUUCACGUUUUGUAGUAUUGAAGUUCUUUCCACAAGAGACGACCAGAAUAUUUACUUAUCUGAUGUCAUUCGCAUAACAAGUUACAUAGGCCAUAUUGAAGAAACACAAACAACCCUGGGAUUUGAAAGAUUCGAGAUAUUGUGCUUCGAAUUGAGGAUCAAAAAAUUAACAUUAGACUAUGGGGUAAUCAGGUUGGCCAAGUUGAUGAAGACUCUUUGGGCCAUGUUGUCAUAGUAACAUCAACUACUGUCCGAAAACUGAAAGGUUUGCAUUUGUAUUAACAAUGGGUAAGUAUUUCUAGGAGUGUUUUUAUACAUAAUUUGAUAUAUCAAGUGCAUGCAGAGUACUUACUGUCAUCUACAGGUGCGACUACAGGGAUAACCAUGGAAAUAUAUAUAUAGUACUCUCUAUGUUUAUCAAUAUAAGAUGUUUUAGAGACUCAGGAGGAGUACAUAUAGUGCAGUGACAAUAGAAAACCCCUGCAGAUCGUAUGUGUCGUGGUUUUGUCACGGCAGAUGUCCUCGUGAAAGGACUUAGUACUGGAGCCAUCGCACCUUGGUGACGAC